GACGAACGCUGGCGGCGUGCUUAACACAUGCAAGUCGAACGGAAAGGCCCUGCUUUUGUGGGGUGCUCGAGUGGCGAACGGGUGAGUAACACGUGAGUAACCUGCCCUUGACUUUGGGAUAACUUCAGGAAACUGGGGCUAAUACCGGAUAGGAGCUCCUGCUGCAUGGUGGGGGUUGGAAAGUUUCGGCGGUUGGGGAUGGACUCGCGGCGUAUCAGCUUGUUGGUGGGGUAGUGGCUUACCAAGGCUUUGACGGGUAGCCGGCCUGAGAGGGUGACCGGCCACAUUGGGACUGAGAUACGGCCCAGACUCCUACGGGAGGUAGCAGUGGGGAAUAUUGCACAAUGGGCGGAAGCCUGAUGCAGCAACGCCGCGUGCGGGAUGACGGCCUUCGGGUUGUAAACCGCUUUCGCCUGUGACGAAGCGUGAGUGACGGUAAUGGGUAAAGAAGCACCGGCUAACUACGUG
rnacentral:rRNA from 1 species